rnacentral:rRNA from 1 species
UACGGGGGGGGCAAGCGUUGUCCGGAAUUACUGGGCGUAAAGGGCUCGUAGGCGGCCGAGUAAGUCGGAUGUGAAAUCCCCAGGCUUAACCUGGGAACUGCAUCCGAUACUGGAUGGCUUGAAUCCGGGAGAGGGAUGCAGAAUUCCAGGUGUAGCGGUGAAAUGCGUAGAUAUCUGGAGGAAUACCGGUGGCGAAGGCGGCAUCCUGGACCGGCAUUGACGCUGAUGAGCGAAAGCUAGGGGAGCAAACGGG